GACGAACGCUGGCGGCGUGCUUAACACAUGCAAGUCGAACGGAAAGGCCCUGCUUUUGUGGGGUGCUCGAGUGGCGAACGGGUGAGUAACACGUGAGUAACCUGCCCUUGACUUUGGGAUAACUUCAGGAAACUGGGGCUAAUACCGGAUAGGAGCUCCUGCUGCAUGGUGGGGGUUGGAAAGUUUCGGCGGUUGGGGAUGGACUCGCGGCUUAUCAGCUUGUUGGUGGGGUAGUGGCUUACCAAGGCUUUGACGGGUAGCCGGCCUGAGAGGGUGACCGGCAACAUUGGGACUGAGAUACGGCCCAGACUCCUACGGGAGACAGCAGUGGGGAAUAUUGCACAAUGGGCGGAAGCCUGAUGCAGCAACGCCGCGUGCGGGAUGACGGCCUUCGGGUUGUAAACCGCUUUCGCAUGUGACGAAGCGUGAGUGACGGUAAUGGGUAAAGAAGCACCGGCUAACUACGUG
rnacentral:rRNA from 1 species